rnacentral:tRNA from 1 species
GGAGAGGUACCGAAGUGGCCGUAACGGGCUCGACUCGAAAUCGAGUUGGGGGCUAAUCACCUCCACGUGGGUUCGAAUCCCACCCUCUCCG